UUAUGCAGAUGACGACGAAUCUCUUGUUGAAGCUGAGGUUCUCUCCUUUCUUUCUCAUUAAUAAGUCUUUUUUCUCAAUAUAUUAAAGAACAAUUUUUGGUUAACUUUAUCAUUCUUUUUGCCAUGGCUGAGGUAUUUUGUUGUUUGAUUUUGAUGACUUUAAUCCUUGGCAGAAGGUGUAAUUAUGGGAAAAUUUAGUUUAACUUGUUUGAAGUUUGAUUAAAUCAUGCUAUCAUCAGUUUGUGUAAUUUUUGUUUCAAUACUUUGGUAGUGUUUGGAUUGUCUCUGAAAUUUAAGCGGACGGUUGGUAUAGAUCUUAGUACAGGUUUACACUAAUAAUAAUUUCUAUUAAAUUUGCACAGUUGGAUUAUUUAUAGUGUAUGCUUUGAUUUACUUUGAAUUAUGACUCCUAUUUGUAAAAGAGUGUACCAAAAAUCCAUUUCUUCAAUGCCAGGUUUAAGGAACAAAUAGGAGAUAUUUUAGCUGCUCGCGCUGCAUAUAUUCAGCAGACUGGUAAAGAGUCAGAUUCUGAUUUUGUGCAGAAUGUUAUAUCAAGAGCCAAUAUGGAGAAACGUUUGGAAAAUAUGAAGUCAGCUUGUGGUAUAUACAAAGAAGCAAUAAAGAUGGUUGUAGCUGAAGAGAAUUUACAGCAUGCCCUCCCUAAUUUAUAUGUCCAUUUCUCUCACCUAAAAUAUAUGGUACAUGGCAUAUUUAUCAUUUUUUGUUGAAUUUUCAUUUUAAAAGGCUAAGCAUCAUUCUAGCAUCAUCUUUCCAGAGCCUAAAAUGUUGCUUGAUUAUCUUCAGGCCCUGAAAUCCUCAGAAGAGUCUUUAAGAGAGUAGGUUUAGAAUCUAAUCUGCCUUUUUUUUCUGUUGAUGUAGUUCACUAUCCAUUGAUGGUAAAGUCUGGUGUACUCUGAUAUUGGAUGGUCUGCUUAUGGUUAUUGGGCUGAUGUCUUUGUUUAUGUUGUCUAUAAUAGAUGUUCGUUUGGGAUGCUUGCAAGGAUCUGACCUUGAUUAUUUUAAUGGUAGCUGCUGCAGCUUCAUUAGUACUGGGGAUAAAAUCUGAGGGUAUUAAGGAAGGAUGGUAUGAUGGUGGAAGCAUUGCUUUUGCAGUUAUUCUUGUUAUUGUUGUUACAGGUACUAUGCCAAUAUUUUGUCUUUGUAAAAUUUCUAAUAAAGCAUUCAAACAUGUUCUAUGGUUCUGUUUCUCA